rnacentral:rRNA from 1 species
CUUAGACAUGCAAGUCGAACGGCAGCACGGGUACUUGUACCUGGUGGCGAGUGGCGAACGGGUGAGUAAUACAUCGGAACGUACCUUAUCGUGGGGGAUAACGCAGCGAAAGCUGUGCUAAUACCGCAUACGCCCUGAGGGGGAAAGCGGGGGAUCGAAAGACCUCGCGCGAUUAGAGCGGCCGAUGCUUGAUUAGCUUGUUGGUGGGGUAAAAGCCCACCAAGGCGACGAUCAAUAGCUGGUCUGAGAGGACGAUCAGCCACACUGGGACUGAGACACGGCCCAGACUCCUACGGGAGGCAGCAGUGGGGAAUUUUGGACAAUGGGGGCAACCCUGAUCCAGCAAUGCCGCGUGAGUGAAGAAGGCCUUCGGGUUGUAAAGCUCUUUUGUCAGGGAAGAAACACCGGCUCUAACACAGUCCGGGAAUGACGGUACCUGAAGAAUAAGCACCGGCUAAC